UUCUAGGAAACAUGUCCCUUAACAUUAAUUAUGGUAUUAGUAUUGGGUGGAAAUGCAUUUAAUUAGUAAUUUAUUUUCCACUUCUGUUGGUGGUUAGCCGUAUAAUACUAGGAUACAAAGUUAGUGGUUCAAUCAAUUUAAGGAAUUAAGUGGAAGGUUGAUGUUGCCAGGAAUGAGUGAAAGACAAAUAGUUAGUGGAAGUUUUUUUUUUUUUGGUUUACACGGAAAGAAGGCAAAAGAUAGAAAAGAGAAGGAUAUAGGCGAGAGGAAUUGUGAGAUUUCUAUUCCAAAUUAGGAUGUGUUCUUGCAGUAUACAUUUGUUUCAAUGCUUUCCUAUUGUCCCAUUCCCAUAUAUAUAAGUAGGGUUUGACAUGCCAAAAUAUAACAUUAAAAACAAAUUAGAGCAAAAGUGACUGGACGGCGUCAACAACAAACAAUUGAAGGCUUCAGAGUACGAUCCAGGCUCCAGUUCUACACCCCGUGGAUGAUACGCGAGGGUGACAUCUUUCAGUCAUUCAGGGUGAGCUACUUGUCAUCCGUGGCCCCUGAAGGACCUCCUCUAUUUCUUUCUGUUUUUGUGUUCGACAGACAAUAUGUAGCCUUCGGGUAUUUUUCAGACUUCUAUUCCGUACUAUGUUAGUGCUCUUGUACCCUUGAUCAGAUUUUUGGGGUUGUUGUGAAAUUUCUAGUUAUGAUAAGUAUUUAAGACUUGA